rnacentral:rRNA from 1 species
AUGAUGAGGGGGGGCUUGGUAGCUCGGAAAAUUGAUCUUGAGGAGAAGAGGGUGCAUGCACCUAAUCCGAUGAUUCAGGAGCCAUUUUUCUCACUACCAGUUGCAACUCCACCCAUGACAGCUAUGGGGGAAGACCCGGAACCAGUCCGUCAGGAGCCGACUGAACCCGAUGUUGACCAUGAAAGGGAGGUGCAACAGCAAAUUUUAGAAGAAGUGCCAGAAGUUGAGGCACAAAAUGUGCCAGAAACUGAGGCCCUUAGAAGGUCUACAAGAUCAAGAAAGUCAGCUAUUUCUACUGACUUUAAAGUUUAUAAUACAGAAAUGGUUCAUAUGGAAAAAGAUCCCACCUCAUAUGAAGAAGCCAUGAGAAGCCCUCAUUCAUCGAAGUGGAUGAAGGCAAUGGAAGACGAGAUGAAAUCGAUGAGUUCCAAAGAUGUUUGGGACUUAGAGGAAAUUCCCAAAGGAGCCAAAACAGUAGGCUGUAAAUGGGUCUAUAAAAUUAAGUAUGACUCUAAAGGGAAUAUAGAAAAGUAUAAAGCACGACUCAUGGCAAAAGGAUUUACACAAAGAGAAGGGAUAUAUUACAAUGAGACAUUUUCUCCAGUCUCAUGUAAGGAUUCCUUCAGAAUCAUAAUGGCAUUAGUUGCUCAUUUUGAUUUAGAGUUACAUCAAAUGGAUGUUAAGACGGCAUUUAUGAAUGGUGAUUUAAAAGAAAAGGUCUACAUGAAACAACCAAAGGGUUUUAUCAUGGAAGACAAUGAAAAUAUGGGAUGUCGCCUGAAGAAAUCCAUUUAUGGAUUAAGAAAAGCCUCUCGGCAGUGGUAUCUAAAGUUUAAUCAAACGAUUAAAAGUUUUGGAUUUAAAGAAAAUAUUGAGGAUAAUUGCAUUUAUGCAAAGUUUAAAAAUGGGAAAUAUAUUUUCCUAAUCUUGUAUGUGGAUGAUAUCCUGCUUGCUAGUAGUGAUGUUAGUCUACUACAAGAAACAAAGAAAUACUUAUCCUCAAAUUUUGACAUAACAGAUGUUGGUGAAGCAUCAUAUGUUUUGGGCAUAGAAAUUCACCGAGAUAGGAACAAUGGAGUCUUAGGACUAUUUCAGAAAGCAUAUUUAGAAAAGGUUCUUAAAAAGUAUAAUAUGCAUGCGAGUAAAGCCACACCUGCUCCAAUAGUCAAGGGCGAUAGUUUUGGGAAAUUCCAAUGUCCCAAGAACCAGUAUGAGAUCGAUCAAAUGAAAGCAGUACCAUAUGCUUCGGCAGUUGGCAGCUUACAGUAUGCACAAGUGUGCAUUCGCCCUGACUUAGCUCUUAUCACCGGGGUACUCGGUAGAUAUCAAGAGAAUCUAGGCCUAGAGCACUGGAAGAUGGUAAAGAAAGCAUUGCGUUAUGCGCAAGGCACGAAGGACUACAUGCUAAUAUACAGGAGAAGUGAUUCCCUAGAGAUAAAAAUGUAUUCAGACGCAGAUUUUGCGGGGGACAUAUUCACCCUCGCUGGGGGAGCUAUUUCGUGGAAAAACUCCAAACAGUCGAUAGUUGCAUCAUCCACGAUGUAUGCAGAAUUCAUAGCAUGCUUCGAAGCCACGGGGCAGGCGAUAUGGCUAAAGAAAUUUGUACCCGACUUGAAAGUGGUAGAUUGCAUUCACAAACCACUAAAGAUGUACUGUGAUAACCAGCCCGCAGUAUUCUAUGCUCACAACAACAAGUCAAGUAAUGCUGCCAAAACAAUAGAGAUAAGGUAUUAUGUUGUGAAA